rnacentral:rRNA from 1 species
GCUCUGUGGGAUCAGUGGCGAACGGGUGAGUAACACGUGAGCAACCUGCCCCUGACUCUGGGAUAAGCGCUGGAAACGGCGUCUAAUACUGGAUACGAACAAGAAUCGCAUGGUUACUUGUUGGAAAGAUUUUUCGGUUGGGGAUGGGCUCGCGGCCUAUCAGCUUGUUGGUGAGGUAAUGGCUCACCAAGGCGUCGACGGGUAGCCGGCCUGAGAGGGUGACCGGCCACACUGGGACUGAGACACGGCCCAGACUCCUACGGGAGGCAGCAGUGGGGAAUAUUGCACAAUGGGCGAAAGCCUGAUGCAGCAACGCCGCGUGAGGGAUGACGGCCUUCGGGUUGUAAACCUCUUUUAGCAGGGAAGAAGCGAAAGUGACGGUACCUGCAGAAAAAGCGCCGGCUAACUACGUGCCAGCAGCCGCGGUAAUACGUAGGGCGCAAGCGUUAUCCGGAAUUAUUGGGCGUAAAGAGCUCGUAGGCGGUUUGUCGCGUCUGCUGUGAAAUCCCGAGGCUCAACCUCGGGCCUGCAGUGGGUACGGGCAGACUAGAGUG